rnacentral:rRNA from 1 species
CGCGCCCCGGGCGGGGCGGGGGCACGGGGGUUGGAGGGCAAGUCUGGUGCCAGCAGCCGCGGUAAUUCCAGCUCCAAUAGCGUAUAUUAAAGUUGUUGCAGUUAAAAAGCUCGUAGUUGAAUUUCGGGAUCAAUAUUUCGGUCAUGCCGUUGGUAUGCACUGUUAUCAUUGAUUUCUCACCUUCUAAAGAACCGUAAUGCCAUUAAUUUGGUGUUACGGGGAAUUAGGACUGUUACCUUGAAAAAAUUAGAGUGUUUAAAGCAGGCUCACGCUUGAAUACAUUAGCAUGGAAUAAUGAAAUAGGACAUCCGAUUCUAUUUUGUUGGUUUCUAGGAUCGAUGUAAUGAUUAAUAGGGAUAGUUGGGGGCAUUAGUAUUCAAUUGUCAGAGGUGAAAUUCUUGGAUUUAUUGAAGACUAACUACUGCGAAAGCAUUUGCCAAGGAUGUUUUCAUUAAUCAAGAACGAAAGUUAGGGGAUCGAAGACGAUCAGAUACCGUC